rnacentral:rRNA from 1 species
AUUAGUAGAUAUAGACUUUAAAUUUGAAGAAUUUGGCGGUGAUUUAAUCUUAUUAGAGGAACCUGUUUAUUGAAUCGAUACACCACGCGAAAUCUUACUCAUUUUAUUUAGUUUGUAUACCGUCAUUAUCAGAUGAUUUUUAAAGAAGUUUAAUCAUUAAAGAUUAUAAAAUAAUAAGUUAAAUUAGAUCAAGGUGUAGCUUAUAAAUGAGUUGGAAUGGGUUACAAUAAGUAUUUAUUUAUUACGGAUUAGUAAGAAGAAAACUACUAGGAAGGAGGAUUUGAUUGUAAUGUGAGUUUAAUAAGCUCAAAAGAUAUAAGCUCUAGGUCAU